rnacentral:rRNA from 1 species
AACACAUGCAAGUCGAGGGGCAGCAUGGUCUUAGCUUGCUAAGGCCGAUGGCGACCGGCGCACGGGUGAGUAACGCGUAUCCAACCUGCCUUACACUCUUGGACAGCCUUCUGAAAGGGAGAUUAAUACAAGAUGUUAUCAUGAGUAAGCAUUUUCGCAUGAUUAAAGGUUUACCGGUGUAAGAUGGGGAUGCGUUCCAUUAGAUAGUAGGCGGGGUAACGGCCCACCUAGUCUUCGAUGGAUAGGGGUUCUGAGAGGAAGGUCCCCCACAUUGGAACUGAGACACGGUCCAAACUCCUACGGGAGGCAGCAGUGAGGAAUAUUGGUCAAUGGACGAGAGUCUGAACCAGCCAAGUAGCGUGAAGGAUGAAGGUUCUAUGGAUUGUAAACUUCUUUUAUACGGGAAUAAACGAAUCCACGCGUGGAUUUUUGCAUGUACCGUAUGAAUAAGGAUCGGCUAACUCCGUGCCAGCAGCCGCGGUAAUACGGAGGAUCCGAGCGUUAUCCGGAUUUAUUGGGUUUAAAGGGAGCGUAGAUGGGUUGUUAAGUCAGUUGUGAAAGUUUGCGGCUCAACCGUAAAAUUGCAAUUGAUACUGGCAGUCUUGAGUACAGUUGAGGUAGGCGGAAUUCGUGGUGUAGCGGUGAAAUGCUUAGAUAUCACGAAGAACUCCGAUUGCGAAGGCAGCUUACUAACCUGUAACUGACAUUGAUGCUCGAAAGUGUGGGUAUCAAACAGGAUUAGAUACCCUGGUAGUCCACACGGUAAACGAUGAAUACUCGCUGUAGGCGAUAUACAGUCUGCGGCCAAGCGAAAGCAUUAAGUAUUCCACCUGGGGAGUACGCCGGCAACGGUGAAACUCAAAGGAAUUGACGGGGGCCCGCACAAGCGGAGGAACAUGUGGUUUAAUUCGAUGAUACGCGAGGAACCUUACCCGGGCUUAAAUUGCAACCGAAUAUGGCGGAAACGCUAUAGCUAGCAAUAGCGGUUGUGAAGGUGCUGCAUGGUUGUCGUCAGCUCGUGCCGUGAGGUGUCGGCUUAAGUGCCAUAACGAGCGCAACCCUUGCCGAUAGUUACUAACAGGUCAUGCUGAGGACUCUGUCGGGACUGCCAUCGUAAGAUGUGAGGAAGGUGGGGAUGACGUCAAAUCAGCACGGCCCUUACGUCCGGGGCUACACACGUGUUACAAUGGGGGGUACAGAGGGCUGCUACCACGCAAGUGGAUGCCAAUCCCAAAAACCUCUCUCAGUUCGGAUUGAAGUCUGCAACCCGACUUCAUGAAGCUGGAUUCGCUAGUAAUCGCGCAUCAGCCACGGCGCGGUGAAUACGUUCCCGGGCCUUGUACACACCGCCCGUCAAGCCAUGGGAGCCGGGGGUACCUGAAGUGCGUAAAAACAAGGAGCGCCCUAGGGUAAAACUGGUGACUGGGGCUAAGU